AACGAACGCUGGCGGCGCGCCUAAUACAUGCAAGUCGAGCGAGAAGACGUAGCAAUACGUUUGUAAAGCGGCGAACGGGUGAGGAAUACAUGGGUAACCUACCCUCGAGUGGGGAAUAACUAGCCGAAAGGUUAGCUAAUACCGCGUACGCUCCUUGGACUUCGGUUCAGGGAGGAAAGCGAUACCGUGGGUAUCGCGCUCUUGGAUGGGCUCAUGUCCUAUCAGCUUGUUGGNGAGGUAACGGCUCACCAAGGCUUCGACGGGUAGCUGGUCUGAGAGGACGAUCAGCCACACUGGCACUGCGACACGGGCCAGACUCCCACGGGAGGCAGCAGUAAGGAAUAUUGCGCAAUGGGCGAAAGCCUGACGCAGCGACGCCGCGUGGGGGAGUGAAGGUC
rnacentral:rRNA from 1 species